rnacentral:rRNA from 1 species
AACGAACGCUGGCGGCGCGCCUAAUACAUGCAAGUCGAGCGAGAAGACGUAGCAAUACGUUUGUAAAGCGGCGAACGGGUGAGGAAUACAUGGGUAACCUACCCUCGAGUGGGGAAUAACUAGCCGAAAGGUUAGCUAAUACCGCGUACGCUCCUUGGACUUCGGUUCAGGGAGGAAAGCGAUACCGUGGGUAUCGCGCUCUUGGAUGGGCUCAUGUCCUAUCAGCUUGUUGGUGAGGUAACGGCUCACCAAGGCUUCGACGGGUAGCUGGUCUGAGAGGACGAUCAGCCACACUGGCACUGCGACACGGGCCAGACUCCUACGGGAGGCAGCAGUAAGGAAUAUUGCGCAAAUGGGCGAAAGCCUGACGCAGCGACGCCGCCGGUGGGGGA